GAUGAACGCUAGCGAUAGGCUUAACACAUGCAAGUCGAGGGGCAGCAUGGUCUUAGCUUGCUAAGACUGAUGGCGACCGGCGCACGGGUGCGUAACGCGUAUGCAACUUGCCUCACAGAGGGGGAUAACCCGUCGAAAGACGGACUAAUACCGCGUACACUCCAUCUUGGGCAUCCAAGGUAGAGGAAAUGAAAUUCGCUGUGAGAUAGGCAUGCGUCCCAUUAGCUAGUUGGUGAGGUAACGGCUCACCAAGGCGACGAUGGGUAGGGGAACUGAGAGGUUGAACCCCCACACUGGUACUGAGACACGGACCAGACGCCUACGGGAGGCAGCAGUGAGGAAUAUUGGUCAAUGGGCGAGAGCCUGAACCAGCCAAGUCGCGUGAAGGAUGACUGUCUUAUGGAUUGUAAACUUCUUUUAUACGGGAAUAACAAGAGUCACGUGUGACUCCCUGCAUGUACCGUAUGAAUAAGCAUCGGCUAACUCCGUG
rnacentral:rRNA from 1 species